UGUAAUAACAAGAAAUUUAGUUCACUACUUGUGAAACGUUUAAUUAUUCGAAUGUAUCAGCAGAAUUUUUUGGAUAACUCGGUUAAUCAUCCUAACCAAGAUCGAUUAUUGGAUUACAAAAAUUACUUUUAUUCUGAGUUUUAUUCUCAGAUUCUAUAUGAAGGGUUUAUGAUCGUUGUGGAAAUCCCAUUCUCGCUACGGGAAUUAUUUUGUCCGGAAGAAAAAGAAAUACCAAAGUUUCAGAAUUUACGCUCUAUUCAUUCAAUAUUUCCCUUUUUAGAAGACAAAUUUUUGCAUUUGGAUUAUCUAUCACAUAUAGAAAUACCCUAUCCUAUCCAUUUGGAAAUCCUGGUUCAACUCCUUCAAAACCGUAUCCAAGAUGUUCCAUCUUUGCAUUUAUUGCGAUUCUUUCUCAACUAUUAUUCGAAUUGGAAUAGUUUUAUUACUUCAAUGAAAUCCAUUUUUUUCAAAAAGAAAAUAAAAGACUAUUUCAAUUCCUAUAUAACUCUUAUGUAUCAGAAUAUGAAUUUUUUUUGUUGUUUCUUCGUAAACAAUCUUCUUGCUUACCAUUAG
rnacentral:rRNA from 1 species